UAAUAAGUGUUUUAUGGCACUUUUUAAAUCCAUAUCCACCUUGUGUGCAAUGUCAGUCGAUCUUCUUCAUGGAGAUCGACCAAACAUCAACCUUUAUUUUUUAACUCUUUGUCUGAAAAGUAUUAUGAAUAAACAAUUCAAAAUA
rnacentral:misc_RNA from 1 species